rnacentral:rRNA from 1 species
GAUGAACGCUGGCGGCGUGCCUAAUACAUGCAAGUCGAGCGGACGGACGAGAAGCUUGCUUCUCUGAUGUUAGCGGCGGACGGGUGAGUAACACGUGGAUAACCUACCUAUAUGACUGGGAUAAUUUCGGGAAACCGGAGCUAAUACCGGAUAAUAUUUUGAACCGCAUGGUUCAAAAGUGAAUGACGGCCUUGCUGUCACUUAUAGCUGGAUCCGCGCUGCAUUAGCUAGUUGGUAAGGUAACGGCUUACCAAGGCAACGAUGCAUAGCCGACCUGAGAGGGUGAUCGGCCACACUGGAACUGAGACACGGUCCAGACUCCUACGGGAGGCAGCAGUAGGGAAUCUUCGGCAAUGGGCGAAAGCCUGACGGAGCAACCCCGCGUGAGUGAUGAAGGUCUUCGGGUCGUAAAGCUCUGUUAUUGGGGAAGAACAUAUGUGUAAGUAAAUGUGCACAUCUUGACGGUACCUAAUCAAAAAGCCACGGCUAACUACGUG